GGCCAACUGCCCUGAGUUGAUGAACUUCUGCUUCCUAAUUGGGUUUGUUUUGUUUUGUUUUUGCUUUUUAAAAACUUCUUGAGUUUAUUAUGGCCAAAGGCUAGGUGAGCAGAGAACCUGCUCAUGGCCGACCUUGAGAAAUGUAGGCAGAACGUCCACUGGCAGCAGAGAGCUGAGGAAGUGUUGGGCCGAGCCUUACAAUAGAAGCUGCAGCAGAGGCCUGCGCUCUCCCUUCUGAUGGCUGCCUGGGAAGUCAGCUCUUCCCCCAGAAAGCCCCAUCUGUAUCUCUGCUGACAUACUGAUGUAGGCUUUAUGAUCACUGCUCGGACCCUCACCUGAGGAAUCAGAUUCUUAUGUACCCGCCUCAGCUUGGCUCGCUUCUGCCCAUUCUUGGUGACGAUUGUCUCCUCAUAGAAUUCAUGAGCCAGAUCUCCAUCUUCAUCAUAGAACAUGGAGCUGUGGAGAGAAGGGGAACAGGCUGGAUUAGAGCCUCAUCCCUGGCCUUGGCAAGGGCCACAGACCACAGUGAAGUAUGCUGAACCCCAAGAGAAGACACACAAUGGUAACCUCCGUGGAAGAACUCUUUGCUUGGUGCCCAAGGGAAGCAGGCAGUGUGACAAGGCCACUGUUGCCCUGUCACACCAACAGGAUGUCCUAUCAGAGCACCCUCUCU
rnacentral:lncRNA from 1 species